AAUUUCUUUCAAGGUGCUCCCAGGUGACCAUGAGUAUCCCAAAUGUAGACCCAAGAGAACUUCAUAUGAGUGGUACAUUCCUAAAGGGAUCUUAAAGACUGGCUGGAUGAAUAAGCAUCUGAAUCUGGUGCCAGCCCUGGUGGUUGUGUUCUAUGAACUGGACUGGGAUGAGCCUCAGUGGAAAGAAAAGCAGUCUGAGUGCGCCACCAGAGUGGAAAUAGUCAGGCAAAGUUUACAAGGAAGAAACACAAAAGUUGCAGUGGUUCUGAUUCAGAAGAAAACCCCUUUGCCCCCAGGAGAAGAUGUCAUUGCUUCAGAAAGGGCUGCAGCUUUAUGCAAUGCAUGUGAACUCUCAGGAAAGUCUUUGUUUGUACUGCCGCACACUGACCACCUUGUGGGUUAUAUUAUAAGAUUGGAAAAUGCCUUUUAUGAACAUGCACAGACUUAUUACUACACUGAGAUCAGAAGAGUGAAAUCUCAUAAAGAAUUUUUGAAUAAAACAACACACCAGGUACGUGAUUUUUUGCAAUAAUAGAAGCAUUCUGGAG
rnacentral:sRNA from 1 species